AACGAACGCUGGCGGCAGGCCUAACACAUGCAAGUCGAGCGAGGACUUCGGUCCUAGCGGCGGACGGGUGAGUAACGCGUGGGAACGUGCCCUUUGCUUCGGAAUAGCCCUGGGAAACUGGGAGUAAUACCGGAUGAGCCCUUUGGGGGAAAGAUUUAUCGGCGAAGGAUCGGCCCGCGUUGGAUUAGGUAGUUGGUGGGGUAAUGGCCUACCAAGCCGACGAUCCAUAGCUGGUUUGAGAGGAUGAUCAGCCACACUGGGACUGAGACACGGCCCAGACUCCUACGGGAGGCAGCAGUGGGGAAUCUUAGACAAUGGGGGAAGCCCUGAACUAGCCAUGCCGCGUGAGCGAUGAAGGCCUUAGAGUUGUAAAGCUCUUUCAGCUGGGAAGAUAAUGACGGUACCAGCAGAAGAAGCCCCGGCUAACUCCGUG
rnacentral:rRNA from 1 species